rnacentral:rRNA from 1 species
GACGAACGCUGGCGGCGUGCCUAACACAUGCAAGUCGAGCGGGGUUGAGGCGAGAGGUAACUCGAACUUCUACCUAGCGGCGGACGGGUGAGUAACGCGUGGGCAACCUGCCUCAAGGUUUGGGAUAACAGCCCGAAAGGGCUGCUAAUACCGGAUAUGCCUAUGGCCUCGCAUGGGGCUAUGAGCAAAGGGGAAACCCGCCUUGAGAUGGGCCCGCGUCUCAUCAGCUAGUUGGUGAGGUAACAGCUCACCAAGGCGACGACGGGUAGCCGGCCUGAGAGGGUGACCGGCCACACUGGGACUGAGACACGGACCAGACUCCUACGGGAGGCAGCAGUGAGGAAUAUUGGUCAAUGGGCGGCAGCCUGAACCAGCCAUCCCGCGUGAAGGAAGAAUGCGCUAUGCGUUGUAAACUUCUUUUUCAGGGGGAUAAAAUUCUGUAUGUAUACAGGACUGAAGGUACCCUGAGAAUAAGCAUCGGCUAACUCCGUGCCAGCACG